GGAGAGGUGGCUGAGUGGUCUAAAGCGACGGAUUGCUAAUCCGUUGUAGUGGUACUAAGCCGCUACCGAGGGUUCGAAUCCCUCCCUCUCCGCCA
rnacentral:tRNA from 1 species